CCCCUCAUAGCUCAACGGUAGAGCACUCGGCUGUAGACGAUUAGGUCUAGUAUAGACGGACCAUUCUGGUCAGGAUGAAAUGCGAGCGGAUUAUGUUCGUUAGAACAUGAUGAUGACAGAACCCGAGUUACCCAAGUUCAACUCUUGGUGAGGGGA
rnacentral:tRNA from 1 species